rnacentral:rRNA from 1 species
GGUAGUCCACGCCGUAAACGAUGAGUGCUAAGUGUUGGAGGGUUUCCGCCCUUCAGUGCUGCAGCUAACGCAUUAAGCACUCCGCCUGGGGAGUACGACCGCAAGGUUGAAACUCAGAGGAAUUGACGGGGGCCCGCACAAGCGGUGGAGCAUGUGGUUUAAUUCGAAGCAACGCGAAGAACCUUACCAGGUCUUGACAUCCUUUGACCACUCUAGAGAUAGAGCUUCCCCUUCGGGGGCAAAGUGACAGGUGGUGCAUGGUUGUCGUCAGCUCGUGUCGUGAGAUGUUGGGUUAAGUCCCGCAACGAGCGCAACCCUUAUUGUUAGUUGCCAUCAUUCAGUUGGGCACUCUAGCAAGACUGCCGGUGACAAACCGGAGGAAGGUGGGGAUGACGUCAAAUCAUCAUGCCCCUUAUGACCUGGGCUACACACGUGCUACAAUGGGAAGUACAACGAGUUGCGAAGUCGCGAGGCUAAGCUAAUCUCUUAAAGCUUCUCUCAGUUCGGAUUGCAGGCUGCAACUCGCCUGCAUGAAGCCGGAAUCGCUAGUAAUCGCGGAUCAGCACGCCGCGGUGAAUACGUUCCCGGGCCUUGUACACACCGCCCGUCACACCACGAGAGUUUGUAACACCCGAAGUCGGUGAGGUAACCUUUUUGGAGCCAGCCGCCUAAGGUGGGAUAGAUGAUUGGGGUGAAGUCGUAA